rnacentral:ncRNA from 2 species
CACACACGCACGGGGAGUCCACUGGUUCGGUGGGCUGAGAGGGUGGCCGCCACCACCGACCCGCACACCUGAUCUGGGUAAUGCCAGCGGAGGAAGCGAUUAUGCCCAACA